GAAGUAAUACAGAUGAUCGCGGCUGCAGCAAUGCAGGUGAGGAAAGUCCGGGCUUCACAGGGCAGGAUGCCGGAUAACGUCCGGUGGAGGUGACUCCAAGGAUAGUGCAACAGAAAUAUACCGCCGCUUUUGCGGUAAGGGUGGAAGGGUGGCUUAAGAGACCACCGCCUGCACGGUAACGGGCAGGGCACAUGUAAACCCCAUCCGAAGCAAGGCCAGAACGAAAGCUAUGGGUCGGCCCGGCCCGCUUUCAGGUAGGCUGCUUGAAGUGGCUGGCAACAGUCACUCUAGAUAGAUGAUCAUUCGCGACAUAACCCGGCUUAUCGUAUUGCUUCUUUU
rnacentral:RNase_P_RNA from 1 species